AGCGAACGCUGGCGGCAGGCUUAACGCAUGCAAGUCGAACGGGCAUAGCAAUAUGUCAGUGGCAGACGGGUGAGUAACGCGUGGGAACGUACCUUUUGGUUCGGAACAACACAGGGAAACUUGUGCUAAUACCGGAUAAGCCCUUACGGGGAAAGAUUUAUCGCCGAAAGAUCGGCCCGCGUCUGAUUAGCUAGUUGGUAGGGUAAUGGCCUACCAAGGCGACGAUCAGUAGCUGGUCUGAGAGGAUGAUCAGCCACAUUGGGACUGAGACACGGCCCAAACUCCUACGGGAGGCAGCAGUGGGGAAUAUUGGACAAUGGGCGAAAGCCUGAUCCAGCCAUGCCGCGUGAGUGAUGAAGGCCCUAGGGUUGUAAAGCUCUUUUGUGCGGGAAGAUAAUGACGGUACCGCAAGAAUAAGCCCCGGCUAACUUCGUG
rnacentral:rRNA from 1 species